rnacentral:lncRNA from 1 species
GCAAGGCAACAGGACACGAGCCCAGGCUCCCCCAUCUCUGUGACAUGAUAAGGAGAACAGCAGUACCAGAGCAGUGGCCAGGCCAGAUAAGCCAUGGUGAGUGGGCGGGUUGUGUUGUUCUCUAACUACUCCUUUGCAGUAUGUAGCCCAAGUAACUCCUGAGGCCCUUACUGCGCAGCUCAGCUGCUUUUUAGUUAAAACCCAGAACCCCAGCAACAAACUGGAAAGAAAAAUGGAGGGCUUAGAAAAGGACCAUCCUUACUCGGAAUCUUCCCAGCAGCAUCCACCAGCCAGAGAGGAAUACACUGUGCCAGGGGCCAUCACGCACCGCCUGAGAGAUCGAGAGCUGCUGCGGAAAAGGAAAGCAGAGGCACAGGAGAAAGAUACUCUCCAAAAGCAAGGUACGAGCAAAGGGCCAAAGAGGGGCCGAGGAGCUGGGAGAAGAAGAGGCAGACAGCAGGGUACAGAGCCAGUGCCUCAGCCUGAAGUGCAAGAGGAGGCGGAGACGGAGCCCCCAGAGAAAGCACAGGCAUCUCCAGCGCACCAUGAGGAGGAGCCUGCCCUGUCUGUGGCUCAAGAGCCAUCUGGUGGGACUCAGCAGGAGGUGGUGGAGGGCCCCCAAGCUGAGGAUACUCUGCAUCCAGCAGAGCAUGGGGAAGAACCAAAGUCAGAAGAAGCAGGAUCAUCAGAGGCUUUGAAUAUCCCUCUGGAAAAUGACCAUACAGAUAAUGGAUACUACUCCUCUGUUUUAUUUUGAUCUUUUUUCCCUUCCCAUUGCUUUGGUCAAAGUCCAGCCCCUGUAGAAUGAUCUAGAUCUGCUAUUCCUGUGUGAGCAAUAAAAACUAAACACUUGCACCA